rnacentral:rRNA from 1 species
CCGGAGCUUGCUCCACCGGAAAAAGAAGAGUGGCGAACGGGUGAGUAACACGUGGGUAACCUGCCCAUCAGAAGGGGAUAACACUUGGAAACAGGUGCUAAUACCGUAUAACAAUCGAAACCGCAUGGUUUUGAUUUGAAAGGCGCUUUCGGGUGUCGCUGAUGGAUGGACCCGCGGUGCAUUAGCUAGUUGGUGAGGUAACGGCUCACCAAGGCCACGAUGCAUAGCCGACCUGAGAGGGUGAUCGGCCACAUUGGGACUGAGACACGGCCCAAACUCCUACGGGAGGCAGCAGUAGGGAAUCUUCGGCAAUGGACGAAAGUCUGACCGAGCAACGCCGCGUGAGUGAAGAAGGUUUUCGGAUCGUAAAACUCUGUUGUUAGAGAAGAACAAGGAUGAGAGUAACUGUUCAUCCCUUGACGGUAUCUAACCAGAAAGCCACGGCUAACUACGUGCCAGCAGCCGCGGUAAUACGUAGGUGGCAAGCGUUGUCCGGAUUUAUUGGGCGUAAAGCGAGCGCAGGCGGUUUCUUAAGUCUGAUGUGAAAGCCCCCGGCUCAACCGGGGAGGGUCAUUGGAAACUGGGAGACUUGAGUGCAGAAGAGGAGAGUGGAAUUCCAUGUGUAGCGGUGAAAUGCGUAGAUAUAUGGAGGAACACCAGUGGCGAAGGCGGCUCUCUGGUCUGUAACUGACGCUGAGGCUCGAAAGCGUGGGGAGCAAACAGGAUUAGAUACCCUGGUAGUCCACGCCGUAAACGAUGAGUGCUAAGUGUUG